rnacentral:rRNA from 1 species
AUGCUUACUAAAAACAAAAAAAAAUUAGUUAAAUCUUUGUACUCCUUUCUGAUCAAUGAUGGACUAGGAUUUCCACACAAAUUUCUGUGGAAAAUUCACAUUCCAUUUAAGAUCAAAAUGUUCUUUUGGCUUUUGGCCAGAAGAAGCAUCUUGACAAAAGAAAACUUAAUUAGAAAAGGUUGGAAAGGAACAAAAGAGUGUGUAUUUUGUGGGAGAGAAGAAAAUAUAGAUCAUCUAUUCUUUGAAUGUUCAGCAGCCAGACUGGUCUGGAGUCUGGUUAAAUGUGCUUUUGAUCUCAGACGCAGCCCAACUAAUAUCAAAGAUUACUUGGGAGGGUGGCUGAAAACAUUUAAGAAACCAGAGAAAAAAUUAGUUCUGGUGGGGAGUGCUGCUAUUUUAUGGGUUCUUUGGAAAUGUAGAAAUGAUACAAUCUUCAGAUCGAGAAAAUUUCAUGAUCCAAUGAUAAUCAUUCAUAUAAUGUGCAAAUGGAUUGUUGAUUGGUCGAUUUUGCAGAGAAAAAAGCUGGAGGAAAGACUACUGCAGCUGGGAGCAAAACUAGUCGAGCGGGUGGCAAGUGAGAUAUACAAGGCGACGCAGGGGUGGAGCUGGGGGUUUCGGCGACUGGAAGGCUAA